UAAAUUGUGGACAAAAUCCAACAAGUGCAAUACUGACCUCAAAGCCAAGUUCAGGGAGGUGAGUGGAAAAACAGCGGAGCUUGGACAAUUUUUGAGAAAACUCCCCCCCCACCUUCCCUGAGCUUUCCAGGAUGUUCAAGCGGAACAUGAGCCUUUUUGGCAGCACCUAUCUGUGUGUAAAGCUCUUCUCCACAAUGAACUUCAAUAAGUCAAAGUUCAGGUCCCGACUUAUAGAUGAGCGCCUUAAAGCCAUACUGAGGGUCUCAGUUGCCUCCUCCCUCAAGCCAAAUGUGGCUCAGCUGUGUGAGAGGAAGCGCUGCCAAGUCUUUGACAGCAAGGAUUAGGAGGAAGUAAAUGAAGCCUAUGUUCUGAAGAACUGUUCAUGUUCUGCAUGUUCUGACUUGUUAAGAUUGAGAAGAUUGGUUCAGUUGACCUUUUUGUUUUGAAUACUUGAAGCCUUUUUUUUUGUGGGAUACUUCAUGCGGCCCAGCCUCACCCAGACUCUACCUCCAGCGGCCCCUAGGUAAGUUGAGUUUGAGACCCCUGGUCUAGACGAAGGCUUUUUUCAAACUUUAGACUUGAAAAAGGGGGUUGUCUUAUAAUCGGGGUCAUCUUAAAUUUGGGCCAAUACGAUACUUAAGUUAAGUCACUUGCACAAAUGCACAUGUAAACACGUGUAUUUGUAGACACCUGUGAAGACAUAAUGGACAUAAUGUACAUGCAUGCACAUGCAAACGGAGCAACAGGUGGCUACUUUCCUGCAGUCCAAGGGGAUACAGCUGGACUGCGACAACAACGAAGCUUGCCACCCUCUGCCCAAGAGGAGCCUCGGAGACAAACCUGCUGUCAUCAUGCGGUUUGUCAACAAAAAACACAAGAUUGCACUAUUAAAACAAGGAAGUAAGCUGAGAGGAACCAACGUCUACAUCAAUGAGCACCUAACCAAGCACAACGCUGAUAUUGCCAAAAAAGCACGCUACCUGAGGAAGCAGAAAAAAAUUCAACAUACCUGGACUACAAACUGUAAAAUAUUUAUCAAGCUCAAUGGAACACCGGAGGAAGCAAAAGUGCUGAUGGUAAGGAGUAUGGAGGAGCUGGAUAGAUACCAAUGAUCAUCAUGCAGGACUGUAAGGUAAACUCUACUCACAACCAUGGCACACAUCGAAAGAAAUCAAGCAUCUACACCUGAAGACAACAGUAACAUAACUCAGAGGAUUAGUGAACACGACAAACUGGAACUCCAAUCAUUUCAAUACACUGACCACAGUUCACUGGAUAUGGAACAUGAUAUAGACCCGGAUAACAACUUCUUUAACUCAAUCAACAAUAACUGCAGUUAUUAUACUGAUGAAGAAUUUAAUAGAAUCAAUACAGAUAGCAGACUGUCUAUUAUACAUAUUAACAGUAGGAGUCUGUAUGCCAACUUUACAAACAUUAAGGAUUAUCUUCAUCAGUUUACAGAUCUAUGUGGAAAAGACAUUAAACGUCAGGGUGAUACGGGAUAUGUCAAUGGUAGUUAACAACAUAUUGGAAUGCAUAACAAUUGAAAUACUUAAGGAAAGAAAGAAAAAUGUAAUCAUUCGCUGUAUAUAUCGGACACCAGGUUCUAGCAUUGAACUGUUCACAGAAUGGAUGGAGGAGGUGUUUUCAAAGGUCAGUUGCAAAACAAUUUUCAUCUCUGGAGACUUCAACAUUGAUUUACUCAAUCCAAACAAGCACAAACUGACCGAACACUUUGUUAACACAAUAUAUAGCAUGAACUUGUAUCCAAAAAUCACUAGACCAACCAGAAUAACUUCUCACUGUGCCACUCUUAUUGAUAAUAUAUUCACAAAUUACAUUUUAAACAACACCAUAAGUGGGUUAUUAGUCAGCGACAUCAGUGAUCAUUUGCCAGUUUUUAUGGGUUUUGAUGACAACUAUAAAAUUAUCCAACUGGCCAGAAAACAGGAAUACAGAAGAAUUAAAACAGAAGAAACAAUAAACGCAUUUAAAAAUGGUUUAAUGUCACAAAAUUGGGAUAUUAUAUGCAAUAAAAAUAAUAUUAACUGUGCAUAUGAGGAAUUCUUAAAAAUCUUCAAAAGGUUAUAUGACAAAUACUGCCCUGUAAAAGUAAAUAAUAGGAAACUAAAGUAUGUAAAUCAUCCCUGGAUCACAAAGGGCUUACAAAAUGCCUGUAAAGAGAAAAAUACAAUUUACAGAGAAUUUAUAAGACAAAGAACUAAAGAGGCAGAAAAUAAAUAUAAACAAUAUAAGAAUAAACUAACUAAUAUUAAAAGAGCUGCUAGAAAAGAAUACUAUAGUAAAAUAUUAAAUGAUAAUAAAAACAACACCAAAGAAAUAUGGAAUAUAAUGAAUACUGUAAUAAAAAAUGGCUCUAAAAAAAUUGAUUAUCCUAAAUAUUUUAUUAUCAGGAAUACUGAGAAGAAGUGGCUGAAAACCUCAAUACAUUCUUUGUAAAUACGGGACCUGAUCUGGCCAAACAAAUCCCAGAUUCAGUAACAACUGAGGAGCAAUGUAAUAGUUUAAUAGAUAGGAAUCUGAGCUCAAUGUUCCUCAAAGCAGCGGAUGAGAAAGAAAUCAUAAAGAUAGUUUCCCAAUGCACAAACAAGACAUCCAAAGACUGUGAUGACAUUGACAUGAUUGCCGUAAAACGAGUGAUUGAGGGGAUCUCUAAACCAUUAACAUACAUCUGUAACCUAUCCUUUCAGACCGGUAUAUUUCCAGAUAAAACGAAAAUAGCAAAAAUCAUACCUUUGUAUAAAACCGGGGACAAACACCACUUCACAAACUACAUACCUGUAUCAUUACUAUCACAAUUUUCUAAAAUACUGGAAAAACUUUUCAAUAACCGACUGGACAAAUUUAUAGAUAAAUAUAAAGUACUCACUGAAAGUCAAUAUGGAUUUAGAUCCAACAGAGCAACGUCACUGGCACUAAUUGACUCAGUGGAGGAAAUUACUAACGCAAUAGACCUAAAACAAUAUACAGUUGGGAUAUUCAUUGAUCUAAAAAAGGCAUUUGACACAAUAAAUCAUGAAAUAUUCUUCAAUAAAUUACAUCGGUAUGGCAUCAGGGGGAAACCAUAGAAUUGAUCAAGAGCUAUUUAACAAAAAGGAAGCAGUUUGUGAAGUUGGGUGACACUUGUUCAACGUGUUUGGACAUUAGUUGUGGCGUCUCUCAGGGGUCAGUGUUGGGCCCUAAACUUUUUAUAUUAUAUAUAAAUGAUAUAUGCAAGGUAUCACAUAUUUUGAAGAUGGUUUUGUUUGCGGAUGACACAAAUAUUUUUUGUUCUGGUAGUGAUUUACACACCUUAACAACACUAAUAAAUAAUGAAUUAAGCAAAUUAAAGGUAUGGCUGGACAGCAAUAAAUUAUCCUUAAACCUAAGCAAAACAAGAGUAAUACUUUUUGGUAAUCACAGAACUAAUUUGAAAAUAGAGAUAAAGAUGGAUGGGGUUAUUAUUGAAAGAGUGAAUGAGAUUAAAUUUUUAGGGGUGAUAAUAGAUGAUAAGAUCAGUUGGAAAUCACAAGUUAAACAUGUACAAUAGGGGUGUAACGAUUCAUCGAUACACAUCGAAAAACAUUCUGUAUUUCAAUAUGUGGAGUUAAGUUAUGGAAUACUUUGGUGAAACGCUCAGGGAAUGUUCAAACAUCUAUCAGUUUAAAAAAAGAUAUAAAGAAGAAAUUGUUUUUACAAGGUACAGAAAUGAGGUGUAUGAGUAUCAUGGGGUGCUUAGUAAUUAUUGAUUUACGUUUCUUUGUUGGUUUAGUUUGUCUGUUUGUCAUUGUUUUGUUCAGGCUGGUUUUAUUUUUUUGUUUUUAUUUUGUUUAUUUCUACCAUUCAGGUAUUUUUGUGUUGUAUUUGAGGUAUGUAUGUAUGUUAAGUGUCUGUGUGUGAAAUAUACGUAUGUAUUAAUAGUGUGUAGGUACAUGUUAAGUGUCUAGCGAGCAGCAGGUGGGAGAUAAUUUAGUAAUUUAGUAUUUUGUUGGAAUAACUGAGGCAAAAUGAUUUAUGGCUGGGUAUUUAGAGAUUAUUAAAUAGGGGGUGGGAUUAAAUAAAUUAUACUUCUUCCUACUCCUUUUCAGACAUGUGAAUGUGACUUAUGGUUCUUUUGCGGUUAUAUCUUUAUUGCUACGCUUGUAGUUUGUGUGCAUGUAUAUGUUAUAUAUGUUAUGUAUAAACAUACACAUGUAUAUGUAUAUUUGUAUAUGUAUAUAUGUAUAUGUAUGUAUGUAGGUAUGUCUGUAUGUGUAUAUAUGUAUAUGCAUGUAUUUUGUCAUGUCUUUUUAUUGUGUACAGUAAGCUUAUUCUUUUUUCACAUGUUUGAAAUAAAUAAACGAAACGAAACGAAACUUGUUUGAUAGUGUUGUUUAAUAUUAAUAAGACAAAUAUCCAUGUCGGAAUAAAAAACAAGUAAACAUUUAAAACUCAUUUGUUGUUGGUUUAAUGGAAUUCAGCUGUUCAGCCCACAAAACACAAUGUCUACAUUUAGGGUAGAUACUUUUGUACAUAGUUUAACACAGUUAAGUAAAUGUCCCGUGGGACUCUGAUGGUCUGGUUACAUCAAUGGUGGGCCUGAGGUCAGCCAUAUUCUGCUCUCACAAGGGACAAUGAACAAGUGGAAUAAUCACUCCAGAACGGGUCGCAUCUUGCUCACUGGCAGUAUUAAAGUCAAGAUCCUCAGUUUCCUAUAUUAAAAAAAAACUGAUUAAAAAAGUCCUACCUCGAAGAGAUCAAGAUCCCUCUGCAGACGUAGAAGAAACAUGCUGGGAACAGAACAGGUGGAUGCUGUCAGAAAGGUCUAGGAGACCUUCAUCUUCAACGCUGUGGGGAACCUCAUAGUACUAUCUAUCUAUCUAUCUAUCUAUCUAUCUAUCUAUCUAUCUAUCUAUCUAUCUAUCUAUCUAUCUAUCUAUCUAUCUAUCUAUCUAUCUAUCUAUCUAUCUAUCUAUCUAUCUAUCUAUCUAUCUAUCUAUCUAUCUAUCUAUCUAUCUAUCUAUCUAUCUAUCUAUCUAUCUAUCUAUCUAUCUAUCUAUCUAUCUAUCCACACGCUCAUGCAUAUGUAUAGCACAACGUCCUGAGCACGACGUUAAACUGCUACCAAAGACUGGCUCUCGGCAGGAAGCGCGGAGGAAACCCUCAGAGGUUCAACGGGCCGAUUGGCGACACCAGCAAGCUUUGUGGAGCGCUGCGGGCUGGAUGCAUCACCUCGUAAUGUAUUCAGGCCAUCCAGUGCACCCGGCUCCAUCUCCAGCCAUCUUGACUCUGUCUUUCCACUGGAUACAAGUGGACUCAGGCGAGAGAGUGAGGUUGACACUGCGCAACCCACCCUCACUUAAAGUCAUGACUUCACACACACACGCACACACAAACACGCACACACACUCCCCGCAAUUGAGGCUAUGUCAUCGUCAGGCAUAGGGACAGACAGGAUGUCAGGGUCACUAAGGCAGUGUGUGGUGCAGAGUGCUGGACUGACCACACGCUCCUGGUAUCAAAGCUGAACAUCAAGAUUCACCCUCCUAGGAGGCUUCAAGGUUCCAAAGCAUUUGAAUGUCUCCAGGCUCGCCAACACCUUUGUGAAGCAAUCCCUGGAUGAAAAGCUCGCCAGUAAACUGCAAGACCUGAAACCUUCAGGGAAUGUGGAGUUGGACUGGAUUCAAGCAGGGCUGUGUUCUGGCACCCACUCUGUUCAGCAUGAUGUUCUCAGCCAUGCUGACAGACACAUACCGUUUUAGGGACAUGGGAAUAGACCUGCGCUACCGCACCGAUGGCAAGCUGUUCAACCUACGGAGACUACAGGCUAAAACAAGAGUGCAGAUGACCACAGUCUGCGACUUCCUCUUUGCGGACGACUGCGCACUCAAUGCAUCCAGCCAGAUGGAAAUGCAACUGAGCAUGGACAUCUUUGCCACAGCAUGCUCUGACUUUGGCCUCACCAAGUUCGUCUACCUAGGUAGCACCCUGUCCCGUAUGGCCAAUAUAGAUGAGGAAAUCAUGCACAGGGUGGCACAUGGAAGUGCAGCCUUGGGCAGACUCCGCAGCUCUGUCUGGGAACGUAGAAGGCUCUGCCUGCAGACCAAACUCAAGGUCUACAGUGCUGUUGUCCUCCCCUCCCUGCUCUAUGCCUGUGAGACAUGGACCGUCUACAGCCGACAUGCAAAGCAGCUCAAUGGCUUCCACAUGAGAUGCCUCAGGAAGCUACUGAACAUCAGAUGGCAGGACAAGAUCCCAGACACUGAGGUCCUCCACAGGGCAGAGAUGGAAAGCAUCUAUGCCACCCUCAAGCGCUCCCAGCUGCGAUGGGCUAUUCGUGUCUGCCGCAUGCUAGACGAACGCCUUCCAAAAAGGCUUCUGUACGGCGAACUACACUUUGGCAAGCACUCUCGUGGCGGCCAGCGGAAGCGGUACAAGGACACCCUAAAGGCCAGUCUCAAAAGCUGCGGUCUAGACCCAGAGACCUGGGAGGCCAAUGCCCAACACCGACCAAACUGGCGCACUGCAGUCAAGCACGGCUGCCCUAAAUUGUGGACAAAAUCCAACAAGUGCAAUACUGACCUCAAAGCCAAGUUCAGGGAGGUGAGUGGAAAAACAGCGGAGCUUGGACAAUUUUUGAGAAAACUCCCCCCCCACCUUCCCUGAGCUUUCCAGGAUGUUCAAGCGGAACAUGAGCCUUUUUGGCAGCACCUAUCUGUGUGUAAAGCUCUUCUCCACAAUGAACUUCAAUAAGUCAAAGUUCAGGUCCCGACUUAUAGAUGAGCGCCUUAAAGCCAUACUGAGGGUCUCAGUUGCCUCCUCCCUCAAGCCAAAUGUGGCUCAGCUGUGUGAGAGGAAGCGCUGCCAAGUCUUUGACAGCAAGGAUUAGGAGGAAGUAAAUGAAGCCUAUGUUCUGAAGAACUGUUCAUGUUCUGCAUGUUCUGACUUGUUAAGAUUGAGAAGAUUGGUUCAGUUGACCUUUUUGUUUUGAAUACUUGAAGCCUUUUUUUUUGUGGGAUACUUCAUGCGGCCCAGCCUCACCCAGACUCUACCUCCAGCGGCCCCUAGUCCAAGGGGAUACAGCUGGACUGCGACAACAACGAAGCUUGCCACCCUCUGCCCAAGAGGAGCCUCGGAGACAAACCUGCUGUCAUCAUGCGGUUUGUCAACAAAAAACACAAGAUUGCACUAUUAAAACAAGGAAGUAAGCUGAGAGGAACCAACGUCUACAUCAAUGAGCACCUAACCAAGCACAACGCUGAUAUUGCCAAAAAAGCACGCUACCUGAGGAAGCAGAAAAAAAUUCAACAUACCUGGACUACAAACUGUAAAAUAUUUAUCAAGCUCAAUGGAACACCGGAGGAAGCAAAAGUGCUGAUGGUAAGGAGUAUGGAGGAGCUGGAUAGAUACCAAUGAUCAUCAUGCAGGACUGUAAGGUAAACUCUACUCACAACCAUGGCACACAUCGAAAGAAAUCAAGCAUCUACACCUGAAGACAACAGUAACAUAACUCAGAGGAUUAGUGAACACGACAAACUGGAACUCCAAUCAUUUCAAUACACUGACCACAGUUCACUGGAUAUGGAACAUGAUAUAGACCCGGAUAACAACUUCUUUAACUCAAUCAACAAUAACUGCAGUUAUUAUACUGAUGAAGAAUUUAAUAGAAUCAAUACAGAUAGCAGACUGUCUAUUAUACAUAUUAACAGUAGGAGUCUGUAUGCCAACUUUACAAACAUUAAGGAUUAUCUUCAUCAGUUUACAGAUCUAUGUGGAAAAGACAUUAAACGUCAGGGUGAUACGGGAUAUGUCAAUGGUAGUUAACAACAUAUUGGAAUGCAUAACAAUUGAAAUACUUAAGGAAAGAAAGAAAAAUGUAAUCAUUCGCUGUAUAUAUCGGACACCAGGUUCUAGCAUUGAACUGUUCACAGAAUGGAUGGAGGAGGUGUUUUCAAAGGUCAGUUGCAAAACAAUUUUCAUCUCUGGAGACUUCAACAUUGAUUUACUCAAUCCAAACAAGCACAAACUGACCGAACACUUUGUUAACACAAUAUAUAGCAUGAACUUGUAUCCAAAAAUCACUAGACCAACCAGAAUAACUUCUCACUGUGCCACUCUUAUUGAUAAUAUAUUCACAAAUUACAUUUUAAACAACACCAUAAGUGGGUUAUUAGUCAGCGACAUCAGUGAUCAUUUGCCAGUUUUUAUGGGUUUUGAUGACAACUAUAAAAUUAUCCAACUGGCCAGAAAACAGGAAUACAGAAGAAUUAAAACAGAAGAAACAAUAAACGCAUUUAAAAAUGGUUUAAUGUCACAAAAUUGGGAUAUUAUAUGCAAUAAAAAUAAUAUUAACUGUGCAUAUGAGGAAUUCUUAAAAAUCUUCAAAAGGUUAUAUGACAAAUACUGCCCUGUAAAAGUAAAUAAUAGGAAACUAAAGUAUGUAAAUCAUCCCUGGAUCACAAAGGGCUUACAAAAUGCCUGUAAAGAGAAAAAUACAAUUUACAGAGAAUUUAUAAGACAAAGAACUAAAGAGGCAGAAAAUAAAUAUAAACAAUAUAAGAAUAAACUAACUAAUAUUAAAAGAGCUGCUAGAAAAGAAUACUAUAGUAAAAUAUUAAAUGAUAAUAAAAACAACACCAAAGAAAUAUGGAAUAUAAUGAAUACUGUAAUAAAAAAUGGCUCUAAAAAAAUUGAUUAUCCUAAAUAUUUUAUUAUCAGGAAUACUGAGAAGAAGUGGCUGAAAACCUCAAUACAUUCUUUGUAAAUACGGGACCUGAUCUGGCCAAACAAAUCCCAGAUUCAGUAACAACUGAGGAGCAAUGUAAUAGUUUAAUAGAUAGGAAUCUGAGCUCAAUGUUCCUCAAAGCAGCGGAUGAGAAAGAAAUCAUAAAGAUAGUUUCCCAAUGCACAAACAAGACAUCCAAAGACUGUGAUGACAUUGACAUGAUUGCCGUAAAACGAGUGAUUGAGGGGAUCUCUAAACCAUUAACAUACAUCUGUAACCUAUCCUUUCAGACCGGUAUAUUUCCAGAUAAAACGAAAAUAGCAAAAAUCAUACCUUUGUAUAAAACCGGGGACAAACACCACUUCACAAACUACAUACCUGUAUCAUUACUAUCACAAUUUUCUAAAAUACUGGAAAAACUUUUCAAUAACCGACUGGACAAAUUUAUAGAUAAAUAUAAAGUACUCACUGAAAGUCAAUAUGGAUUUAGAUCCAACAGAGCAACGUCACUGGCACUAAUUGACUCAGUGGAGGAAAUUACUAACGCAAUAGACCUAAAACAAUAUACAGUUGGGAUAUUCAUUGAUCUAAAAAAGGCAUUUGACACAAUAAAUCAUGAAAUAUUCUUCAAUAAAUUACAUCGGUAUGGCAUCAGGGGGAAACCAUAGAAUUGAUCAAGAGCUAUUUAACAAAAAGGAAGCAGUUUGUGAAGUUGGGUGACACUUGUUCAACGUGUUUGGACAUUAGUUGUGGCGUCUCUCAGGGGUCAGUGUUGGGCCCUAAACUUUUUAUAUUAUAUAUAAAUGAUAUAUGCAAGGUAUCACAUAUUUUGAAGAUGGUUUUGUUUGCGGAUGACACAAAUAUUUUUUGUUCUGGUAGUGAUUUACACACCUUAACAACACUAAUAAAUAAUGAAUUAAGCAAAUUAAAGGUAUGGCUGGACAGCAAUAAAUUAUCCUUAAACCUAAGCAAAACAAGAGUAAUACUUUUUGGUAAUCACAGAACUAAUUUGAAAAUAGAGAUAAAGAUGGAUGGGGUUAUUAUUGAAAGAGUGAAUGAGAUUAAAUUUUUAGGGGUGAUAAUAGAUGAUAAGAUCAGUUGGAAAUCACAAGUUAAACAUGUACAAUAGGGGUGUAACGAUUCAUCGAUACACAUCGAAAAACAUUCUGUAUUUCAAUAUGUGGAGUUAAGUUAUGGAAUACUUUGGUGAAACGCUCAGGGAAUGUUCAAACAUCUAUCAGUUUAAAAAAAGAUAUAAAGAAGAAAUUGUUUUUACAAGGUACAGAAAUGAGGUGUAUGAGUAUCAUGGGGUGCUUAGUAAUUAUUGAUUUACGUUUCUUUGUUGGUUUAGUUUGUCUGUUUGUCAUUGUUUUGUUCAGGCUGGUUUUAUUUUUUUGUUUUUAUUUUGUUUAUUUCUACCAUUCAGGUAUUUUUGUGUUGUAUUUGAGGUAUGUAUGUAUGUUAAGUGUCUGUGUGUGAAAUAUACGUAUGUAUUAAUAGUGUGUAGGUACAUGUUAAGUGUCUAGCGAGCAGCAGGUGGGAGAUAAUUUAGUAAUUUAGUAUUUUGUUGGAAUAACUGAGGCAAAAUGAUUUAUGGCUGGGUAUUUAGAGAUUAUUAAAUAGGGGGUGGGAUUAAAUAAAUUAUACUUCUUCCUACUCCUUUUCAGACAUGUGAAUGUGACUUAUGGUUCUUUUGCGGUUAUAUCUUUAUUGCUACGCUUGUAGUUUGUGUGCAUGUAUAUGUUAUAUAUGUUAUGUAUAAACAUACACAUGUAUAUGUAUAUUUGUAUAUGUAUAUAUGUAUAUGUAUGUAUGUAGGUAUGUCUGUAUGUGUAUAUAUGUAUAUGCAUGUAUUUUGUCAUGUCUUUUUAUUGUGUACAGUAAGCUUAUUCUUUUUUCACAUGUUUGAAAUAAAUAAACGAAACGAAACGAAACUUGUUUGAUAGUGUUGUUUAAUAUUAAUAAGACAAAUAUCCAUGUCGGAAUAAAAAACAAGUAAACAUUUAAAACUCAUUUGUUGUUGGUUUAAUGGAAUUCAGCUGUUCAGCCCACAAAACACAAUGUCUACAUUUAGGGUAGAUACUUUUGUACAUAGUUUAACACAGUUAAGUAAAUGUCCCGUGGGACUCUGAUGGUCUGGUUACAUCAAUGGUGGGCCUGAGGUCAGCCAUAUUCUGCUCUCACAAGGGACAAUGAACAAGUGGAAUAAUCACUCCAGAACGGGUCGCAUCUUGCUCACUGGCAGUAUUAAAGUCAAGAUCCUCAGUUUCCUAUAUUAAAAAAAAACUGAUUAAAAAAGUCCUACCUCGAAGAGAUCAAGAUCCCUCUGCAGACGUAGAAGAAACAUGCUGGGAACAGAACAGGUGGAUGCUGUCAGAAAGGUCUAGGAGACCUUCAUCUUCAACGCUGUGGGGAACCUCAUAGUACUAUCUAUCUAUCUAUCUAUCUAUCUAUCUAUCUAUCUAUCUAUCUAUCUAUCUAUCUAUCUAUCUAUCUAUCUAUCUAUCUAUCUAUCUAUCUAUCUAUCUAUCUAUCUAUCUAUCUAUCUAUCUAUCUAUCUAUCUAUCUAUCUAUCUAUCUAUCUAUCUAUCUAUCCACACGCUCAUGCAUAUGUAUAGCACAACGUCCUGAGCACGACGUUAAACUGCUACCAAAGACUGGCUCUCGGCAGGAAGCGCGGAGGAAACCCUCAGAGGUUCAACGGGCCGAUUGGCGACACCAGCAAGCUUUGUGGAGCGCUGCGGGCUGGAUGCAUCACCUCGUAAUGUAUUCAGGCCAUCCAGUGCACCCGGCUCCAUCUCCAGCCAUCUUGACUCUGUCUUUCCACUGGAUACAAGUGGACUCAGGCGAGAGAGUGAGGUUGACACUGCGCAACCCACCCUCACUUAAAGUCAUGACUUCACACACACACGCACACACAAACACGCACACACACUCCCCGCAAUUGAGGCUAUGUCAUCGUCAGGCAUAGGGACAGACAGGAUGUCAGGGUCACUAAGGCAGUGUGUGGUGCAGAGUGCUGGACUGACCACACGCUCCUGGUAUCAAAGCUGAACAUCAAGAUUCACCCUCCUAGGAGGCUUCAAGGUUCCAAAGCAUUUGAAUGUCUCCAGGCUCGCCAACACCUUUGUGAAGCAAUCCCUGGAUGAAAAGCUCGCCAGUAAACUGCAAGACCUGAAACCUUCAGGGAAUGUGGAGUUGGACUGGAUUCAAGCAGGGCUGUGUUCUGGCACCCACUCUGUUCAGCAUGAUGUUCUCAGCCAUGCUGACAGACACAUACCGUUUUAGGGACAUGGGAAUAGACCUGCGCUACCGCACCGAUGGCAAGCUGUUCAACCUACGGAGACUACAGGCUAAAACAAGAGUGCAGAUGACCACAGUCUGCGACUUCCUCUUUGCGGACGACUGCGCACUCAAUGCAUCCAGCCAGAUGGAAAUGCAACUGAGCAUGGACAUCUUUGCCACAGCAUGCUCUGACUUUGGCCUCACCAAGUUCGUCUACCUAGGUAGCACCCUGUCCCGUAUGGCCAAUAUAGAUGAGGAAAUCAUGCACAGGGUGGCACAUGGAAGUGCAGCCUUGGGCAGACUCCGCAGCUCUGUCUGGGAACGUAGAAGGCUCUGCCUGCAGACCAAACUCAAGGUCUACAGUGCUGUUGUCCUCCCCUCCCUGCUCUAUGCCUGUGAGACAUGGACCGUCUACAGCCGACAUGCAAAGCAGCUCAAUGGCUUCCACAUGAGAUGCCUCAGGAAGCUACUGAACAUCAGAUGGCAGGACAAGAUCCCAGACACUGAGGUCCUCCACAGGGCAGAGAUGGAAAGCAUCUAUGCCACCCUCAAGCGCUCCCAGCUGCGAUGGGCUAUUCGUGUCUGCCGCAUGCUAGACGAACGCCUUCCAAAAAGGCUUCUGUACGGCGAACUACACUUUGGCAAGCACUCUCGUGGCGGCCAGCGGAAGCGGUACAAGGACACCCUAAAGGCCAGUCUCAAAAGCUGCGGUCUAGACCCAGAGACCUGGGAGGCCAAUGCCCAACACCGACCAAACUGGCGCACUGCAGUCAAGCACGGCGUUGCAGACUUUGAAAAGCGACGCAUCCAUGAAGCGGAACGGAAACGACAGCUUCGCAAAACAAAAGACAGUUCUUCUCUCCCACCCAACCAGCCCUCAACCCUAACCUGCCCCCACUGCAACCGGUCAUUCCAUGCAGGGAUUGGCCUCAUCAGCCAUCUCUGCACACAUAAGACACUGUGAAGUCACAUGGUCAUCUUCGAAAGCGAAGAACGAACAUGAUGAUAGACACACACGCACGCACACACACACAUGCACGCACUUACGCGCGCGCACGCACACACACACAUACACACACACACACACAAGAUUAAUUAUGAAAUAAGGAAUGAUCUAGGUACCAAAGGUUAUUUUCUCGUCUUUGGUAUGUGUGAUAACAAAGAAAGUGAAUAAACAUUUGGUGAGCAUGUCUCCGUGGGAGUACGGUUGGGCGGAACAGUAAACUGAGGUAAACUUGAAAAUAUUAAUAAGAAAUCCUCGUCUCAAUCUGCCAGGUGACUUUGACCAAAAUAUGUAUCUUGUAAAAGGGCAUGCUGGUUUAUUUUUCAACCCAAAUUAUCAAUGCAAUCCAGGUAAAAUGACAUCAAAGAUGAUUAAAUAAUUAAAAAAAAGUAGCAUGAGAGCUUUUAUAAAAUCAUAUAGUCUGCAUUUCUUUUGCAUUAUUUGGAAUCACAGUUGAGAUGGAGUCUGCUGUAGAUGAAUUUGAGCAAGAAUCGGGAUACCCAGGAGCCAGCCAAUCACAGAGAAAUUCAGAUUUUUUUUACCUGUAAUGGCCUGCAUGUUCAUUUAUGGUUUGUCAAAACUGGCUAGGAAAAAAAAAUUAAAUUAAUGAGGAACGAAAUGUGCCUUUUAUUUUGUCCUGGAGCAGAAAUGUUCAUUGCCUAUGCCUGUAAAUUUACAGAACUGAGCCUAGUAAGAAAAAAAAUAAAAAUCAAAUUACUUUUUAAUCGUGAGAUCCAUGCAUAGAGCAGGUGUCACACCAAUUGUGGAAAUGAUGGACGUUAUUGCAGUGGGUGUCGAUUUAUCGUGCAGAUAUAUAAUUGCAUUCAACCUCUAACGAGAGCAGUAAGAUGCUUAGCACAUUCCAACCCAACUACGAAAGCCCCACAGACACAGGCACCAAGUUACUAUGAGUGGCCAAGCACAGAAAACGCGGGGAGCACAAGAACCCGAUCUUGUGCUGCCACUAGAGUGAAAGCCACGCAGGAACCACUGAAGAAAACACCUUCACCACCCUGUAGUUUGUGUCAUGUAAAAUCUUCAUUCGUCAUAAAUCAGUAGCAAAAACAAUGUCAAAUACAGCAACGAUAAACUGACGACUGAAUUUCCCACUGUCUGAAACUUGGUCCAAAGUGUUUCAACUUGCCCAAGAAUGUGGGCAUGUAUUUUUGUAUGCUGGAAUACCACUGAGAAAUGGGUGUGUAUGAUCUGCCUUCACACCGAAACAUCGUUGUUCCUUUCAUCUGUGAUGUUUCUCAUGAGUAUACAAAACUUGACCCUCAAUAUUUUUCUUUAAAAAAGCCAGUAUCUUUAACAUAAAACCCCUAACCAUCAGUUCUGAUAGAAGAAGAAAAAGCCUUCUCAGUGGCCUAGUGGUAUAGUGUCCGCCCUGAGACUGGAAGGUUGUGGGUUCAAACCCCAGCCGGGUCAUACCAAAGACUAUGAAAAUGGGACCCAUUGCCUCCCUGCUUGGCACUCAGCAUUAAGGGUUGGAAUUGGGGGGUUAGAUCACCAAAUGAUUCCUGAGCGUGGCACCGCUGCUGCUCACUGCUCCCCUUUCCCCCAGGGGAUGGAUCAAAUUCACACGGGGAUGGGUUAAAUGCAGAAGACACCCAGAUGUGUGUGUGACGAUCAUUGGGACUUUAACUUUUUAACUUUAAAAAUAAAGGGAUCAAAUGCCUCUAUUACUUCAUCUGCCAUGAAGGAAUCGAACAAAACACGCACAAACAUGCUGCAAAAAGAAUGCUCUGACUGGCCCCAAACAGAAAAAGAAAACUCUGAUAAGAUCUACCAGAACCAGUGCCAGUGCAGUACAUGUUAAUCUGAUAUGACCACUUUUCUGAUGAUGCGUGUUCUAACAUGUUACUUGUUCCAGACCGGGAGUCAGAAUGAAGUUACUUAUCCAAGUCACUGUGUGUUAUCAACAUUGUCAUUUUUAGGAAUAAAAUGAUCAAGUCCUUAAAAAGCGAGAAACAUAAUUACAAAAUGUUGUAUUAUUUACACUAUUCACCUGAUUUGGAUACAUACCACCAGAUUAAAGCUGAACAUCUUCAAUUGAA